GCAGCAGGCGCGCAAAUUACCCACUCCCAGCUCGGGGAGGUAGUGACGAAAAAUAACGAUACGGGACUCAUCCGAGGCCCCGUAAUCGGAAUGAGAACACUCUAAACCCUUUAACGAGGAUCAAUUGGAGGGCAAGUCUGGUGCCAGCAGCCGCGGUAAUUCCAGCUCCAAUAGCGUAUAUUAAAGUUGUUGCGGUUAAAAAGCUCGUAGUCGAAUUUGUGUCUCGCGCCGUCCGGUUCAUCGUUCGCGGUGUCAACUGGCGUGUCGCGAGACGUCCUGCCGGCGGGCCGUUCGCAAGAGCGGUCCAACUGACCCCGCCGCGGUGCUCUUCAUUGAGUGUCGAGGUGGGCCGGCACGUUUACUUUGAACAAACUAAGGUGCUUAAAGCAGGCUGAAAUUUUGCCAGAAUAUUUUAUGCAUGGAAUAAUGAAACAGGACCUCGAUUCUAUUUUGUUGGUUUUCGGAACCUCGAGGUAAUGAUUAACAGGAACGGAUGGGGGCAUUCGUAUUGCGACGUUAGAGGUGAAAUUCUUGGAUCGUCGCAAGACGGACAGAAGCGAAAGCAUUUGCCAAAAACGUUUUCAUUGAUCAAGAACGAAAGUUAGAGGUUCGAAGGCGAUCAGAUACCGCCCUAGUUCUAACCAUAAACUAUGCCAGCUAGCGAUCCGCCGACGUUCCUCCGAUGACUCGGCGGGCAGCUUCCGGGAAACCAAAGCUUUUGGGUUCCGGGGGAAGUAUGGUUGCAAAGCUGAAACUUAAAGGAAUUGACGGAAGGGCACCACCAGGAGUGGAGCCUGCGGCUUAAUUUGACUCAACACGGGAAACCUCACCAGGCCCGGACACCGGAAGGAUUGACAGAUUGAGAGCUCUUUCUUGAUUCGGUGGGUGGUGGUGCAUGGCCGU
rnacentral:rRNA from 1 species